rnacentral:rRNA from 1 species
UACGUAGGGGGCGAGCGUUGCCCGAAUUUACUGGGCGUAAAGCGCACGUAGGCGGCUCCGUAAGUCUGGUGUGAAAUCUCACGGCUCAACCGGGAGGCUGCACCAGAUACUGCGGAGCUCGAGGGCGGGAGAGGAGAUUGGAAUUCCCGGUGUAGCGGUGAAAUGCAUUGAUAUCGGGAGGAACACCAGUGGCGAAGGCGGAUCUCUGGCCCGCUUCUGACGCUGAGGUGCGAAAGCUGGGGGAGCGAAAGGG